GUACUCGCUUCAGCAUCCCAUAUACCACAAUUGGAACGUUACAGAGAAGAUCAGCAUGGCCCCAGCACAAGGAUGACAUGCAAAUUCAUGAAGCAUUCCAUAAUUUU
ensembl:snRNA U6 U6 spliceosomal RNA